UGGUUAAGUCCGCACGAGCGCAACCCUUGUCUUUAGUUGCCAUCAUUAAGUUGGGCACUCUAAAGAGACUGCCGAUGACAAAUCGGAGGAAGGUGGGGAUGACGUCAAAUCAUCAUGCCCUUUAUGUCCUGGGCUACACACGUGCUACAAUGGUCGGUACAACGAGAAGCAAGCCAGCGAUGGCAAGCAAAUCUCUAAAAGCCGAUCCCAGUUCGGAUUGCAGGCUGCAACUCGCCUGCAUGAAGUCGGAGUUGCUAGUAAUCGCGGAUCAGAAUGCCGCGGUGAAUGCGUUCCCGGGUCUU
rnacentral:rRNA from 2 species